UACGAAGGGUGCAAGCGUUAAUCGGAAUUACUGGGCGUAAAGGGUGCGUAGACGGCCUGAUAAGUCGGAUGUGAAAGUCCUGGGCUCAACCUGGGGACGGCAUCUGAUACUGUUGGGCUUUGAGUUUGGGAGAGGGUGGUGGAAUUCCCGGUGUAGCGGUGAAAUGCGUAGAGAUCGGGAGGAACAUCCGUGGCGAAGGCGGCCACCUGGCCUGAAACUGACGUUGAGGCACGAAAGCGUGGGGAGCAAACAGG
rnacentral:rRNA from 1 species